rnacentral:misc_RNA from 1 species
AAGUCGUAACAAGGUUUCCGUAGGUGAACCUGCGGAAGGAUCAUUAUUGAUUUAUAUCCUUUUAUUAUGAACUACGAACGUCCUACUUUGAGUCAUUCCCGUAAGGGGUGAUGAGAAGAAAGACGAAUGUGAAGAGUGAAAUGUCUUUUCUCUUUUCCUUUGGGGAAAGAGAACUUUUUAAACAACCUCUGUUAAUGUUAACUUGGAGUUUUCAAAGGUCUUCAUCUCUUUACUGAGAGGUUGACUCCAAAAAAACACUUACACAACUUUUAACGGUGGAUCUCUUGGCUCGU